GUGGGAGGUUCAAAUUGAGAGAUACCUUGAGAAGCAGAAGGUUGAGUUGGAGAAACAACUUGGAUCUCAGAAGGACUAUUUUGAUCAACAACUCUCUCGUGUGAAAGAUGAAUUGAACAAAAAGAGUUUUGAGUGCAAGCUUGAAAUAAAGAAUGUUAAGGGGAACACAAAGCUUGUGGCUCAGAAUUACUACUCCUUCAAAGGUCACCACGAUCUAAAAUGAAGGAGGUGCAACUGAGUGUUCUCAAAACAACAGAAAGUGUGUCUGCAGGGUUCAGUGGUGUUAUCAUUGCAUACGUAAACAUUAAGGAUCACCUGAAAGAUAUCAAGGACUGGUUUGGUUUCUGAGACAUGGGAAAUUUAGGAUCACCUGAAAAGGUACCUCUAAUCAACUAACCGCCUCUCGUCUAAUCUACCCACAGGUAACGUCUCCACACACACACUCCGCUCUCUUCCUCUAAACCCUAACCCUAGUGAUCCUAAUCAUGAGAGUUCUUGACCUCUUCCUCUAAACCCUAACCCUCACGAUCCUAAUCCUCAAUCUAGCAGCAAGUGAAGGAGGCCUGUGAACUGUACAAGUUUGUGACCAGGCUGAGCCGCCAGGUAUUCGUCGAGUCUUUCUGGUUGGUUGUAAUAAUUGAUGUUUGGUGUUACUGGUAGUACAUAUGGUAUGAGAUUCUUGGCUUACUUUUUUGAAAUUUAUUAUACAAGAAUCUUCCGUGGACCCUAUGCUCACACUACACCAAGAAGAUCUUCACCUAAACACUAAUAUGAGACAACAUCUCUAUAUGAAAACUCAAC